rnacentral:rRNA from 1 species
GACGAACGCUGGCGGCGUGCUUAACACAUGCGAGUCGAACGGAAAGGCCCUGCUUGCAGGGUACUCGAGUGGCGAACGGGUGAGUAACACGUGGGUGAUCUGCCCUGCACUUCGGGAUAAGCUUGGGAAACUGGGUCUAAUACCGGAUAGGAACCAUCUUUAGUGUGGUGGUUGGAAGGUUUUUUCGGUGUAGGAUGAGCUCGCGGCCUAUCAGCUUGUUGGUGGGGUAAUGGCCUACCAAGGCGGCGACGGGUAGCCGGCCUGAGAGGGUGUACGGCCACAUUGGGACUGAGAUACGGCCCAGACUCCUACGGGAGGCAGCAGUGGGGAAUAUUGCACAAUGGGCGCAAGCCUGAUGCAGCGACGCCGCGUGGGGGAUGAAGGCCUUCGGGUUGUAAACUCCUUUCGCUAGGGACGAAGCUUUGUUGUGACGGUACCUAGAUAAGAAGCACCGGCUAACUACGUG